rnacentral:rRNA from 1 species
UGAACCUGCGGAAGGAUCAUUACCGAGUUGAUUCGAGCUCCGGCUCGACUCUCCCACCCAAUGUGUACCUACCUCUGUUGCUUUGGCGGGCCGCGGUCCUCCGCACCGGCGCCCUUCGGGGGGCUGGCCAGCGCCCGCCAGAGGACCAUAAAACUCCAGUCAGUGAACUUUGCAGUCUGAGAAACAAGUUAAUAAACUAAAACUUUCAACAACGGAUCUCUUGGUUCUGGCAUCGAUGAAGAACGCAGCGAAAUGCGAUAAGUAAUGUGAAUUGCAGAAUUCAGUGAAUCAUCGAAUCUUUGAACGCACAUUGCGCCCCUUGGUAUUCCGAGGGGCAUGCCUGUUCGAGCGUCAUUUCAACCCUCAAGCUCUGCUUGGUAUUGGGCUCCGUCCUCCACGGACGCGCCUUAAAGACCUCGGCGGUGGCGUCUUGCCUCAAGCGUAGUAGAAAACACCUCGCUUUGGAGCGCACGGCGCCGCCCGCCGGACGAACCUUUGAAUUAUUUCUCAAGGUUGACCUCGGAUCAGGUAGGGAUACCCG